rnacentral:rRNA from 1 species
UACGUAGGGGGCAAGCGUUGUCCGGAUUUAUUGGGCGUAAAGAGCGUGUAGGCGGCCAUGUAGGUCCGUUGUGAAAACUCGAGGCUCAACCUCGAGACGCCGAUGGAAACCAUGUGGCUAGAGUCCGGAAGAGGAGAGUGGAAUUCCCGGUGUAGCGGUGAAAUGCGCAGAUAUCGGGGAAGGAACACCUAUGGCGAAGGCAGCUCGCUGGGACGUUACUGACGCUGAGACGCGAAAGCGUGGGGAGCAAACAGG